AACUUUUUUCCAUGUCCCGAAAAGAAAUUGGAGGUGGCGAUCCAUACCAGAGGGACCAGAUGGACAUCCACUAAGUAAAGAAGCCAUAAUAGCAUGGUUUGCA